rnacentral:lncRNA from 1 species
UCUAAAAGUUAACAUCUGAUAUUAACAAUCUUGAAUGCAACAAUAUUUUAACAUAAAAAUAUAUAUUUAAUUUCUUACCAUUAUUUUAGAUUAGAAAAUCAUACAUAUACAAGAUAUAUGAAAUUAGAAAAUUAAAUUAAAAAAUUAUAACUUGCUCAUGCAAUAAAUAAAUGAUAUUUUAGAGAAUAUAUUAUAUCAUAAGAUAUUACAUGUUUAUAUUGAGCAUUUUUGUAUUCUUUUAGAUAUGCUAUUAGUCGUAGUAUAUCAUCUGACAAAAGUGAUCGAUGCACUUAAUGAGUAUAACUUUCUGAGGUCCUUUCAGACAAUCGGCAUCAACUUGGCAUUUUAUUGGAAGCUUAGAAAUUUUUCCUGAAAUGAAAAGAGAUUAUAAAAUAAUAUUAGAAAACAUGAUAAAAAGUUGGGUACAAACUUCAAAGAAUAGAAGAAAUUUAAAAAGAAUAAGAAUACCAACAACAUGCGAUGUUGCAUGUAAUAAUGAAAUAUAAAAAAUCCAAAUAUAAAAUAACUUGAGAAUUUCAGUCAUAUUUUUUUUUCACUUUACAUGUAAAAAAUAGAACAUGAUUUAAGCUCUUUAUAGCAUGUAAAAUUCAUAUUAUUGGAUAUUUAAUUUAAUUGUAGUUUUAACCUUUUGGAAGAUAUAAAAAUCUUUUAUAAAAUUAUAAUCAUUAUUAAAUGUCACUUAAUUAUAUAAAUGUGUUGUGUUUGUCCCUUUAAUCUACUUGAUAAAGAGGUCACGUAAUGAUAGGUUGAAUAUUAAAUAUGUUGUGUGUUUCUUUUAAAUGAUCGUUCACACAUUAUUGUAUCAACAUAUCUAACAUGAAUAUUAUAUUUCUUCUUCGUCGUUGUUUUACGAAGAUUAAUUGAUCUCCUUCUAUUAUAUAUGCUCAAACUUGUUGUAUCACUAAAAUGUCCUUUUGCAUUAUUUCCUUCAUUAUCUGCAUCUGCAUAGAUGGUGAAUCGUUCCAUUUUUCCUCGUGUAUUAUAUAUGUGUUAGUUGAUGAUACAUUUCCUCAAAAAUUUUGUUAUGGUUAUCUAAAGUUUUUUUACUCUAUCAUGAUAUCAAAUGAAUCAUAUUUUUUAUAAUAUUCUAUCUGAUCUAAUUUAUAAAAAAUAAAUUUUUUUUUAUAUUUUUUGAAUAAUUAAUGUAUCUAAUCUAUUAUUCGAUAAAACAAAUUGGCUCAUUAGUAAC